AAUCCGUGUUGCGGACAGUCUCUCAGCAUUCCUUUAAACCUAUCCCAAGCUUCGUAAAGAGAUUUGGAGUUUGUUUGCUUGAAACUUGCGAUGAUAUUUCGGAGGUG